rnacentral:tRNA from 1 species
AUUUAGGUAGCUUAACCAAAGCAUCGGUCUUGUAAACCGAAGAAUGAGAUAUAACCCUCUCCCUAAAUA